UGGACAUUCAGGGGUAUUUUACUCAGUGUGGAAGUGAAUUAGUUGCAGGAGUGUUGAUAGCACACAGCUGACCACACUUUGCUAAGAGCUUUAGUGCACUUGCAUUUAAGCUCCUGGCUACAGUGAUAGUUGGAAGAAAAAGGAUAAAACUGGACAGCUCUCAUCAACUCCUCUGAUUUGUGAUUUUCUUUUUUCUUCUGUUUUCCUCCCAUUCACUCCUUUUCUCUGUUAUAUAAAGGAAAACACUGACAUUUUCCCUUUAAAUUUAGACAGCAGCCAUAGAUUAAGCUUGCUAAGAUUCAGUAAUCAGAUUUCACUGGUUUAAAAUUAACCAAAACAGCAUAAGAAUGUUUGUUUUCUCUCAGCUGGUGGCAGCAGAGCUCAGAAGCUGCCCAGAACAGGUGGCUCUGGAGCAGAUGUGUGUAUCAUGGUGAGGAGAGAAAUGCCCUGCUGCAAGCUGUUUCCAUUGCCAAAGGCACAAUAUCUUGUCUGCUCAGAAUAAGUUUUUCUGGCCCAGCUUCCCAGCUGCCAGAAUGGGACAGGUGAAGGCUGGGCUGCAUGGGAAUGGAGGGAGAGAGAGAUAUCAUGCUAUUUGGGAUGGAGAGAAGGCCAGCAACAGUGCUACCAUCGAUCAUCCUCUACCUGCUCCCCAGCAACUGCCCCAUCAAUUCUCUCCUUCCCUCUACUAUGUUAACAGCAGAGCUGCUCGUUUUGGCUUGUGAUUGAAACAGAUUGGGGAUUUUAAGACUCCGCCCAGUGCGGUGGAUUUACAGAUUGCUUGGAAAGAGAUCCAAGAUUGAUUCUUGAAAGAUUGCUCAUCUGGACAGCUCUCAUUCAAGCACCCAGAUGUUUGCUCCAAAGGGAUUUCUGAGGCUGUAUCUUGUCUUUCUGUUUUGACUGCUGCAAGACUUGUCUGGGCUCAUCUUGAGCAAGCCACCUUCCAGACUGCAAGCAGUAGAGCUCAGCUGGGUGGAUCUUGUGACCACUGCUGGAGUUCCCUUCAAGAAAUUUGCAUUCUAGUUAGUAGCUCUCCUCAUCUUCCUUCCAAAACCUGUCCAAUUUUAGAGGGGACUGCUGUGAGUAGAAUCUGCAAUUUCUUUAUAUGAUUAUUUUUACCAUGAGAACAAAAGAAAUAAUAGAACUCUAUACUAAAAGAAUAGCCUUUGGGAAAAGAACAUUAAGGCUUAGAUACAUAUUGUCUUGAGAAAGCAAUACUGGGUGUGAUGUGUUUGGUUACUGGUUAUUAUUUGAUAUGCCCUAACUUCAGCUUCUGGCCUCUCACUCUGUAGAUGUAUUGACGCACAGUGCUUUGUGACUCAGUCUAACAACAAUGCUUUUGUUACUAAAUUAUAAUGAUACUGGGUUGAUCCUGCAAGAGGAUAUUAUUAUUCAGUAGUCACAGGCUAAGUUUCAGGUUGAAAAAGCAGCUUGAUACUCACUAGAAAGCCACUAACUAGUGUAGCUUUAAAGACAGCUAAAUACUUGCAGUUGUGAAAGAACUGAAAAGAUUCGUGUUAUUCUUGUAGAAAACCGAAGCCGUAUUCACAACUGGGAUAAGGCACACAAAUUCACUGAAGCCAGCACAGCUUGUUUCAGCACCUGAGUCCGGUCCUGUGAAAUCCUUUUCUCAGAACUUCAAGCCUAAAAAGCCCUCCCUCUUUAGAAGUCGGACAUGUGCUAAGCAGAAAACAAAGUGUUUUAACAUUUGCAACAGUACUAAAUGAAUACAAAUAGUAUCACAGGUUGGGACGAUGAACAGAUUGAAAAGUAUUCUGAUGUAGGUAGUACCUCUAACUCCAUAAACCUUGUGUCUCAGAAAGCUCUAUGGCUUUUUUGCGGAAAAAAUAUUGCUACUGUAUAAAUUUCAACUUAAAUGAGGUGUCCAGAAAAUAACUAGACUUAGGGACACAGACAUAGAGCUUUUUUUAGACCACAACUCUUUAUCUUCCUGAAUGUGGCACAAGGUGACAUUAGUAAUGUGAUAACUCAUGGAACUUCCACCUUCAAUAGGCUACUUAGCCAUAUUUCGUCUCAAGUCACUCAGACUUGCAUUUCUUUUACCCUGAAAAAUGUCUAAAAAUUCAGAGAUCAACAAACAGAGGCAGACGCAAAAACAGAAGUGCAGGAUGUAAGAAAUGACCACAUUCAGGAAUUGGAUGAGAGCUUUUUACUUCAAGUAAGAAUUUCAAAGUCUACGGUUAUUCCCGUGCUAAGAUAUUUAUCAAACUUCCUGCACUUACCAGCAUCAGUCUUGGUCAGCCUUUGGUCAGAAGUCUGUUGACUUCUGUUGACUUAGGGGCAGAGAAUGUAUUUAAUCAUUCAGAUAGGACCUUUUCUCUCAUGUCAGUAGUAAAUUAAAACAUUGCAUAAUGUUGUGCAGCAGUGGGCUUCUAGAAACAUUACUUUGUCACUGAAAUACUCUCCCUUAGUUCUCCUGUAGUAGGCAGAUGAAUUAUAAAGCAACAGAAUUUGAAUAACUGUCUCACCAUAUUGCCAGGAAAGGUAAUAUUAUCUACUCACUUCUGCUGAGUAUUGCCUCAGGCUUUUGUACCAAAACAUCACACUAGAACUCAGUGCUGUCUAGUAACUAACACUGAAUUUAAAGUGUUGCCACAGUCAAUAAUGCUCAGUUUCCAGACCUAGGUCACCAAAGCAUGUAAAAAAGGAUCCAUGAGUGAUGACUCAAAGCCAAAGAUAUUUUUUCUUUUUUUCUUUUUAUUUUUUUAUUAAUUCCUGUUUGUUUAGGACAGAAGAUAAAAAUGUGUUUAUAAACCAGAGAGUCUGUUGCAGGUGCAGGGGACUCUGUUCCAGCUGGCACUCUGAAAGAUCAAUUACCUCUAUCAAAGCUGUUCUGCUGCCUUUGCUGUCUAGUUGCUCAUUUCUGAGGCUGCACGGGAACCCUACACACAGAGUGAAUUAAAAAGACCAGGGCUCUGUGUUCAAUACCCUCUUCGAGUGUACAAUUUAACCAUUAAUGCUACAAGCCCUAAUUCUUCUUAAUCUGAUCAAAUGGUGGGAAAACAUAAAAAGCUUUUGAGUUUGAAAUGACCUGGCAAUGGUGAUGCUAUUCUCAAUUGAGAAUGCAAAUGAAACCAUGUAAUACAGUGCUAUAAUUGAGAAAGAUUGCAUUUUUUUAAGUUGUUGACCAGGAAUGGAUGGAUUGGUAGGCAAGCUAUCAAAGAACCGUUAUGGAAUACAGCUUAAUAAAUAUUAUUCUGCAAUAUUUUCCUGUUGCCUGUGAAGCAUUACAGUGCUAAAGGGUGCAUUGUAUGUGGUGUUAGUAGGGUGUUGUGACAGCGAUAUUAUCAAUGUUUGUACAGGUUGUCACCAAUACUUGAAAUGACUUGUAAAAACAGCACCUUAAUAAUAAUACCCUGCUACCAUUACUGUGCUGUAGAUGGAAAUGUGCUUUCAUUCUUUGGUACACAAUCUAUAUAUUACUGAUUAAUUUUCUACCUUCUUUCCAUGGAUGGUUCGCAAAAGACAGUGUUAACAACACUCUUAACAGCAUGUGCAAUCACAUCAUUUGUAUGGUAAGCUGUACGGUUAUAUUCAUGUUAUAAGUUGUUUUUUUUUGCAUUCAUUUCUCAUUUACCACCAAACUCCCCACUAAUUUUCAUGGAUGCAUUUCAGCAAAUGCUUUUUCUCCCCAACAUCUACUACACCUGAUGGAAAUGUUUUCCUCCCUCAAAAAACACACAUGAUCAGGGCUCCAAAACCAGCAUGAGCUGAUCUUGAACCAAAGUCUAUUGUGUUGUUCUAAAAAUAUCAUACUUUUGAAGACUGUUAUCUUACAGUCUGGUAGAAACGUGGGACAUAAUUUACUAUUACAAAGAAGCCUUCCAUCUUUUCAAUUAGAAGUAUUGCACUUAUCAUUGCUGGACCAGGAAACUCUGAAGACUUGCAAGAUUGAAACGAUGAUAUCCUUCAGCUAGGAAAUGCUAUUAUGCUGCUAAUGCUAGGCUGCGUGUACUCCGAAUCCCACGUAGACAUGAAUACAAUGCUACAGCUGGCAGAUACCAGUGUCGGUGUAUGCUCAGUAGGAGCUCUAGAACACGCUGUAAAAUAGUUCCUCUUGUGUUCCGUGCAUGUAACACACACAAAUUCAGGUGGGAGGUGAUCUGCAGACACCAGUUUAGAACAAGCUGCACACAGUGCGAUGAGGGCUGUGCACCCUCUCAUCACGGCAGUCAGCCUACAACCGGGCUGUUUGUGGCACGGCUCCUGCAGCACACCGCGGAGCGCUCCUCUCGCUGCCUCGCAGUCCCCUCGCUGCCCCCAGCUGCCAGCCGGAUCAAUGAGUUUUGCCCACUCAUUUGCCCUUUGCCAAGGGUUUGGUUGACCUUUAAAAAUGGAAAAUCCUCCGUCUCCGACCUAAAAGUCCGCCACGAAGCCACGCGUUCUCGUCAUUACUACUGACCACGGGCGCUAAAUGAGAGGACGUUCAUCUCAGCGCUGCAAGGAGCGCCCACCGCCGCCCUCCCUCCGUCCUCACCCCGACUCGGGGCCGCGCCGACCCCUCCGACCGGCGACACGGCGCAGUCCGCUCCCCGAGGCAGGCACACCAGCACAGC